UCCGUAAUUUGGCAACCUUUCCGAUCUUGAAUCUUCGUUUCCAUGCGUAUCAAAGGCCACAAUGGUAACACCUUUAUCUUGCCGUUCCUAAUUUCGUUUACAAACUGCAAUGAUUAGUCCGUUAUGUAUAAACUAGUAACAAAUAGAAUAAACCACUAUGUUUUGACAAAGCAUCAUACAUUUUCUAGGGUUAUAACUUCUGAAUUCUAAUUAGGUUAUAUUUCAUUCAUUGUCAAAUACAAAUACUAUAACUUCUAAUUAGGUUAUAUUUCAUUUAUUCUCAAAAGAAAGCAUCAGCACAGGAUGUUCCGGAACACAUAAAUAGGGAAGAGGAGAUUCAAUAUCAUCCGGGCAAGAGAAAAUUGAUCAAACGUACUAAAGGUAAUUUCCAAUUUUUUAGCCAUUUAAAUACUUUCAUUUGGACAUUUUAUUAUGUUCUACUAGAAAGUUUAAUUCCGUUUUUAUCUUGUACAUUAUUGUGCCCUGCUGUCGGAGGAUGUAUUCUGGAAUUUCCAAAUGCAAGAGAACCUUUUCAAGUAAUUUUGCCCCUUUUUUUAGCAUUAUAGUAAACAUUUUGAUAGCUACAUUCUGUUUUUACUCACUGCCUUCUAUUACAUCCGAUAAAAUGUGCUAGAAGCUGUGAAACAAACUCUUAUUCAAUGCAUCGCUGCUUGAAAAUUUUACUCCUUAGUUAAAGUGGUGCAUCGGGUAACAUUUGCUCCAGCUCCGCCCCUGGCGACAAGGAGGGGCCUGGCGGAGGGGUUGAUGGAGGAAGAUGAUGAUUUCAGAUUAGGGGUAGUUCUGUACUUUCCUAGCUUUUCACCUGGUCGGAGAAUCCCCCCGGCGACAACUAUUACGGUACAGAGGGAGUAGGUUGUAAGACAUGGAACAUGCUGAAGGUGAGGAAAAUUAAUAUGUAAUGGUGUUAUCGAAUUAUGUCAGGUUUUUGCUAUUUUAAUAACAUGUACACCAUCAUAAUAAGGGAAGUGAUGAUAUUGUACACUAAGCGGCUUAACAUUUCUCGGCCUCCUGUUAUCAGGACUUGCAUGGAAAAGAAGGCGGCUGAGAGGUACAGUAAGUUGAUCACCGAUGUUCUGAAGGAUUCCGUGCAGCAGUCGCAGGUUGUCGAAUGAGGUUGAGCGGGGUGUUUGAGGAGCCUUCCAUCAACUUGACAGUGGAUAUUUGAUAGCUCGCUUCUCACCGUGAAAUAGAUGAUGACUUAUAUUAUGUUCCACUUGAUCGGAUGUGCGUUGUUCUGUGUAUGAUCUACCUGAAUGCAAAAGUGCUUUUAAUGGACAUCAAGGUAUCCAAUUUCCAGCAUAUGAAAGAAUACCCUGUUUCUUUUGAUGGAGGCUAAGUACUGAAAACGGAAUCGGCAGGGCAUGAUUCAGGACUGCUGUAUACCUAGAGUGGUU
rnacentral:lncRNA from 1 species